rnacentral:sRNA from 12 species
CCUAGCUAUCCGUUGUUUCAAUGUGAGCUAGGUUAUACGCUCCCUUAUGACGGCAAUAUAAUUGUCAUAAAAUACAACUACGACAGCAAUGAAGUAGUGGUGGGUUAACUUUAAGUAGAGGAGCUAUGCUCU